rnacentral:ribozyme from 1 species
AGCCGACUGAGCGGCUAUAAAAAGGCGUUAGGCUCAGUGCGUGGGGCCCUUCGGGGUCCCGGUCGCA